rnacentral:rRNA from 1 species
UAACGCGUGGAGAACCUGCCGUAUACUGGGGGAUAACACUUAGAAAUAGGUGCUAAUACCGCAUAAGCGCACAGCUUCGCAUGAAGCAGUGUGGAAAACAAAAAGCUAAAGCUUUUGGUGGUAUACGAUGGAUCCGCGUCUGAUUAGCUAGUUGGCGGGGUAAAGGCCCACCAAGGCGACGAUCAGUAGCCGGCCUGAGAGGGUGAACGGCCACAUUGGGACUGAGACACGGCCCAAACUCCUACGGAAGGCAGCAG